rnacentral:rRNA from 1 species
AGCGAACGCUGGCGGCAGGCCUAACACAUGCAAGUCGAACGAACCCUUCGGGGUUAGUGGCGGACGGGUGAGUAACACGUGGGAACGUGCCUUUAGGUUCGGAAUAACUCAGGGAAACUUGUGCUAAUACCGAAUGUGCCCUUCGGGGGAAAGAUUUAUCGCCUUUAGAGCGGCCCGCGUCUGAUUAGCUAGUUGGUGAGGUAAUGGCUCACCAAGGCUACGAUCAGUAGCUGGUCUGAGAGGAUGACCAGCCACAUUGGGACUGAGACACGGCCCAAACUCCUACGGGAGGCAGCAGUGGGGAAUCUUGCGCAAUGGGCGAAAGCCUGACGCAGCCAUGCCGCGUGGAUGAUGAAGGUCUUAGGAUUGUAAAAUCCUUUCACCGGUGAAGAUAAUGACUGUAGCCGGAGAAGAAGCACCGGCUAACUCUGUGCCAGCAGCCGCCGCCGUAA